UUCUUUUGGGGACAGCAAUGUGCUGCGUGCACUAUCACCACUCUCCAGUAACCACGUUAUCAACUGGUUAUCAAGGGCCCAUCUAUGUGGCAAGAAGGCUAUGCUGGGCAUUGACUAAGGCUGCUUUAGCUUUCAUGAAACACUGUGGACCCUCCAGCUGACUGUGCGUCCUGCUCUGCUUUCACAGAUUGCCAACAGUUUGAACGAAUAAGACUUUCUGCUCAAAGUAGAUGUUUAUCUUAUUUGAAGUUAAUAAAAUAUUAAAAAG
rnacentral:lncRNA from 1 species